UAACAAGGAUUCCCCUAGUAACUGAAGACUGAAAGAGCUCAAAUUUAAAAUCUGGCGGCUCAGGCCGUCCGAGUUGUAAUCUGGAGAAGAGUUUUCCGCGCCGGACCGUGUACAAGUCUCUUGGAAUGGAGCGUCAUAGAGGGUGAGAAUCCCGUCCAUGACACGGACCGCCGGUGCUAUGUGAUACACUCUCGAAGAGUCGAGUUGUUUGGGAAUGCAGCUCAAAACGGGUGGUAAAUUCCAUCUAAAGCUAAAUAUUGGCGAGAGACCGAUAGCGAACAAGUACCGUGAGGGAAAGAUGAAAAGCACUUUGGAAAGAGAGUUAAACAGUACGUGAAAUUGUUGAAAGGGAAACGCUUGAAGUCAGUCGCGUCUUGCGGAGCUCAGCCACACUCUUAUUUUGUGGGGCGUAUUCUCUGUGAGACGGGUCAACGUCAAUUUUGAGCGGUGGAGAAGAGCUUGAGGAACGUAGCGUCGUUUCGGCGACGUGUUAUAGCCUCAGGUUGUAUGCACCGGUUGGGAUUGAGGACCGCAGCACGCCCUUGUUGGCCGGGGAUUCGUCCCACGUUCAUGUGCUUAGGAUGUUGGCAUAAUGGCUUUAAGCGACCCGUCUUGAAACACGGACCAAGGAGUCUAACAUGCCUGCAAGUGUUCGGGUGGAAAACCCUUGCGCGUAAUGAAAGUAAAAGUUGGGAUCCUCCGAGAGGGGGUGCACCGACGCCCGGCCCUGAAGUUCUCUGACGGUGCUGCGGUAGAGCAUGUAUGUUGGGACCCGAAAGAUGGUGAACUAUGCCUGAAUAGGGUGAAGCCAGAGGAAACUCUGGUGGAGGCUCGUAGCGAUUCUGACGUGCAAAUCGAUCGUCAAAUUUGGG
rnacentral:rRNA from 1 species